rnacentral:pre_miRNA from 1 species
AGUGGGAUAAUUGGGUCAAAUGGUGGUUCCAAUGCAAGUUUUCUGAGGAAUCUCCACACUGCUUUCCAGAGUGGUUGCACCAGUUUGCAAUCCUACCAAUAAU